UCGAUCCUGGAACUCAAGUCUGGAGGAGCUCCCUCAGACAUCUUCCUUGAGAAGGUCAUGUGAAUUGCUGAAGUCCAGUAGUAAUAACAAAAAGAAGAUGACUGGUGAUGGCUUGGGAUGCAGUGGAAGAUUGAAAAAUACUAUGGCAUCUUUGACGUGUGGCCAUGUGGAUGGAGGCAUUCACUGCUGGCAGUCUUGUGAUGUUUUCCUGGCAGGAUGGGACACCCUAGACUCAGCUGGUAGCAAGAGUGUAACUCUGGCUUAAUAUAUAUUACAAGAAAAUGCGAAUACAUCUGAAAACCCAGAAGAGAAGCUGAAGAAUUGAAUGUUGUUAUUGGUUAUUUUUUUAAAUCACCAAUUAGAAGAAGGCAUCAGGGGCAAGGUAACCCCAGUUCAGGGAAAAAAAAGAUGAUAAUUAUGAGAAAAGGGGUAAUGAGACCACAACUGGUCCUUUCCAAAAUUGGCAAGACGAAUACCUUUCUGAGUUAGACAGUAUACUUAAAGAAAAGAACACAGCUGGAAGCAGUAAAUAAAUUAUUGAUUAGGAGAGAUUGUGUGGUGUAU
rnacentral:lncRNA from 1 species